rnacentral:rRNA from 2 species
GAUUUCUGGUUAGAGUCAUUUUGUCGGCCACGGUUUCGUGUGUUAGUGCUUUAUGUUCUGACCAUCCUUCCAAUCGCUGCUCACUUUUCUUCAUUGAUUGGUGAGUGGUAUUGGAUCUUUUACUUUGAAAAAAUUAGAGUGUUUCAAGCAGGCUUUAUGCUAUGAAUACAUUAGCAUGGAAUAAUAAUUUAGGACUUCGGUUCUAUUUUGUUGGUUUCUAGGACUGAAGUAAUGAUUGAUAGGGAUAGUUGGGGGUGCUAGUAUUCAGCGGCCAGAGGUGAAAUUCUCGGAUUCGCUGAAGACUAACUUAUGCGAAAGCAUU